rnacentral:rRNA from 1 species
GGGCCCGCACAAGCGGUGGAGCAUGUGGUUUAAUUCGAUGCUACGCGAAGAACCUUACCUACCCUUGAAAUCCUAGGAAUUCUCUAGAAAUAGAGAAGUGCCCUCGGGAGCCUAGUGACAGGUGCUGCAUGGCUGUCGUCAGCUCGUGUCGUGAGAUGUUGGGUUAAGUCCCGUAACGAGCGCAACCCUUAUCUUUAGUUGCCAACAGUUCGGCUGGGAACUCUAAAGAAACUGCCGGCGUUAAGCCGGAGGAAGGCGAGGACGAUGUUAAGUCAUCAUGGCCCUUAUGGGUAGGGCAACACACGUGCUACAAUGGGGAGUACAGAGGGUCGCCAAGUCGCAAGACGGAGCUAAUCUCAAAAAACUCUUCGUAGUCCAGAUUGAAGUCUGCAACUCGACUUCAUGAAGUUGGAAUCGCUAGUAAUCGCGAAUCAGAAUGUCG